GGCCCAGGCCUUCCCUCCCGUCUCCCUUCCUUGCUUCCCUGUGCCCUCCCCUUUCUUCCCUCUGCUGGGUCCAGCCUGGUGCCUGGGAAGCAGAUGCCUACCUUGGCAUCCCAGCUGGCUGGAGGAUGUCCCAAGUCCCAAGGAAGUGGUGUCCGGUCCUUACCUGAGCCACCCCGCCUUGCUCAUAGACGUGGAGAUGGCAUUCUUGCCCAAGGAGGACCUGGGAACCCCGGCGCCGGCAGUGACACAUCACUGAUAGCCCUGGCAGGUGAGGCCCUGCGGUUUCCCUGCAGACUUCCUCUCCACAUCACCACGAAAGAAGAGUCUCUGGGGAGCUGGCAGGGCAUAAAGGGGUGCAGCUGGUGGGUGUCGGCUGAACAGAGUGGCUCAGCAUCUUUGAAGUUCCUGGUAACAACCCCAGUAAUCUCUGGGCCCACAAACAGGUAGGUCUCCAGGGGUCAAAGUGGUGAUCUGUGGUUCAUCGCUGGAUCCCCCAAAGCUGAACACAUCCCAGCAACACUAGAGGUCACUUUAACAGUGACUAUCUACCCUGGUUAUGAAAUUCUGUCCCUGGGAAGGUGCAGCAAGCCCAGAAACCUUCCCUCGAUUGGUUUUGUCUUUGUGAAGUCAGUCAGUGGAUGCAGGAGAGUAGUCUCAAGUCAUCAGUCAGACCUUCUCAAACUCUGGUUCUUCCCUGUUCCUGGUACGGGGCACCUCAGAGCCUUUCUUUGCAAGACUGGACAACACCCAUCUGAGCAUUUGAGUGACAGUGGCCAAAAAUCACCCAGUGUUAUUAUGCAGAUUCUGGCUCCCUAAGUCCAACGCGGAGCUCAAGAGUCUGCAUUUCCAAGGAUCUCCCAGAGAACGAACAGGGGCACAGGGUGCACCACCUAGCUUGUAGGUGCGUCCUCAAAUGCCAUGUGAGGCAUUAUUCUGCGUCCAUACUGUUCUCCUAUCAGCACCACGGAGAGCGCCCCGGGGUCACCGCAAGGACCCCUACCCCGGGCCGCUCGCCCGGCUCACCGCUGACUGUGGGGUCUUCGCCGUAAUCGUCGUCUCCCACGAGCGCCUCGGCCAUGGCGCGCCUCAUGGCCGGCCCUGGCCGGGUCACAGUGUCGCUGCGCAGGUCUACCACCUGGGCUGGGACCCCCGCCCAGUUCCUAGACCACCGCGCCCAGGGCACCCUGAGCCCCGGGACUGCGGCCCGGGCCAGUCUGCGGAACAUGGCUGCGGUACCCGCCUUGAUCGCCUGCAGGAGCGGUGGACACUCUUCCGGGCCUGCGGGGUAUCCGUGAGGCUGGACUAUUCUGACCCGGCACCGACCCGAGCUGGGUGGGCCCAGGGCACUCUGGGAGUCGUAGUUCUCUCUGGAACUUUGUACAGUAUGGUGAGUCCCGCAGCAUGCUGGGAAUUGUAGUUCGUGUUCGCCGUGCAGAGAAUUUGGGAUGAUAGUUCCUUGCUUUGCUGAAGGGGUAAUCUUUUAUGCCGCUGACGUCCAGGUGACUUUUAGCGUGUACCUGGCACUGCUCCUGACACUGAAAAUUUAACUUAGUUAAGCGUCCAGCCCCUAAACAACCUGGGUGCUGGGAAUACUGCUGAGCCGACUGUCCAGCCCUUCACAGUCCUUGUUUCUUCACACCGGAGGAAAACACACUGUAAACGCCGCUGGGAGUUCCUCAAAGUCCAGGAAUCAUAUAUGGUACCAUGUUGCCCCUAAAGAGUCUUUUCAAAUUUUCUCUUCUGAAACAGGGUCUCAUGUAUCCCAGGCUAGUUUUAGACUCACUGUGUA